rnacentral:SRP_RNA from 1 species
UCUGAGUCUAGGGAGGACGAGGCUAGUGGAUUGCUAGAGUGUGGGAACGGUAAUUUAUAGCAGAGUCAAAGCUGAUUGGAUGUCUGCACAAAGUACAGCACUGAUAUGGUGAGUUCCUGGGAGCAGGAGGCUACCAGACAGCCUCAGGAGGAGCGAACUGACCCAGGUCAGAAAUGGAACUGAGCAAAGCUCUCAUGCUGAUCAGUGUUAAGAUCAGGCCUGUGAGUGGCUGUCACAUUUCCAGCCUAGGAAAGAUAGAGAGUCCUAGUUUCAA